AAAUGAAUCACCUGUUGGUUAAAAUGCAGAUUCUGAUUUAGGAUGCCUGGGGAGGCCCUGAGUCUGCAGUUUUAGCAAGCACCCAGGUGAUGCUACU
rnacentral:miRNA from 1 species